GACGAACGCUGGCGGCGUGCCUAACACAUGCAAGUCGAGCGAAAAGAUAAGGCUCUUGCGCCUUUGACGAUUGGGGAGGACGGGUGAGUCACAUGUGUGUACCCUCUCUAUAAGUGUGGUAUAAUUCGGAGAAAGCGGGUAAUACCCCGGAUAACAUGUUGAACCGCAUGGGUCUACGGAGAAAGGCGGCUGUGCUGUCACUAAUAGAUGCACCUGCGCCGGAUUAGCUAGUUGGGGGGUAAAAGGGUCACCAAGGCGACGAUUCGUAUCCGAGGUGAGAGGGUGAUAGGCGACACUGGAGCGGGAACACGGUCCAGGCUCCUGAGGGAGGCAGCAGUAGCGAAUCGGCGGCAAUGGGCGAGAGCCUGACACAGCAAGGCCGCGUGAGUGAUGAAGGUCUUCGGAUCGUAAAGCUCUGUUAUUGGGGAAGAACAGCUGCGUAAGUAACUGUGGCCGUCUUGACGGUACCUAGUCAAGAAGCCACGGCUAACUACGUG
rnacentral:rRNA from 1 species